AUUACUAUGACUUGCUACUGCCAAUAUUUCCACAACAUGCUGCUGCUGAGCAGGGACGGUUCUAAGGUGAGUGGAUAUUUGUUAGAAUACACUUUAAAUAAAAUAUAUUUAAAAGUCACAUUGGCUAAUAAAAUAAUAUCAAUGCUAAGUAAUAUUUAUUUGCAGCAACUGUUGGAACACUGAAUGCCACAGGUAAAAAAAGGUAAAAAAGUACACUUCUAUAAUGUAACACACUUUUUGCACACUAAUUUUGUACUUAAUAUACUAAAAAGGAUUCUUUAGUACUUCUUAAGAUAAAAAAGUAGAAUAUUGUAGAAUCAUGUUGCCCUAAAAUAUCACACUUUUAACAUACUAUUUUUAUUUUUAAAAAUUUAUUUAUUUACCUCUUGCAGCACACUUAAAAGCAUAUUUCAUACAAUAGUACACUCAAGUGUAAUAUAAGUGGUAACUAAAUAAAUAUUAGCCUUGCGUUCCGUUAACAAGUACGAUGGCCAGUCCAAAGGCAAAGGCAGGGAGGCAGGCAAUGGGUCAAUAAACAGCACAUCAGUCCGAUCACGCAACCAAACCAAUAGGGUAAAUCCAGGGUUUGAGAAACAGGUAGACAGGCAGAAAUCAUACACAAUAGUAAUAAUCAGAGUCAAAUGAAGGGAAUGCUCAGUAAGGCAGGUAAACUGGCAAAUGGAGGACCUCUGGUUACGAAGCCCUCAAACAGGAAAUGGGCACAGAGGAAGCCAGAGGGUUGAGCACUGCUAGUACUCGGGGCUACCUCUGCUGGUUACAUCGUUCUAAAAUGUAUCCUAAACAGAAAAGGGUUCUCAAUGGAUAUUGCUGUUUGAAGGCUCCCCUCCUGUGGCUGAUAAUGCUUCUGCAGAUGUAGUAUUUUGUCACCUUCUCUUUCCAUACCACAGAAGAUCUGAGUUUCGCUGAUGUGGUGUGUAAGACUGGAACACCGGAGGAGGUCGUGGCAGGUGAGUUGCGACAUGCGACGGGAAAGAGGACCCCCUAAUCAGUUGCAGGACCAGUACAUGCUUGGCCCAAAGACAUCCCUUAAGAUGGCCAUAUGCCCCAGGAGCCUCUGAAAAUACUUCAGUGGAACCAACGUCCUACUCUUAAACCUAUUCAGGCAGUUCAACACCGACUGAGCAUGUUCAUGCAUGAGAUGUGCUGUUUGUUUGACCGAAUUUAACUCAAUACAUUAACUCAUACAAGAGAAUCUCUGUAUCGGACAGAAUUUACUCUUCUCCAAGUUAACCCGAAGACCCAGCAAGGCUAAUAUUUAUUUAGUUACCACUUAUAUUACACGUGAGUGUACUAUUGUAUGAAAUAUGCUUUUAAGUGUGCUGCAAGAUAAAUUAAUAAAUUUUUUAAAAUAAAAAUAGUACGUUAAAAG